rnacentral:rRNA from 1 species
AUGUCUACCCUUGAGGCCAUGAUCCUUCUGCUGCUGCUGCUCACGCCCACUGCCGCCGGCGAGGGGGCGAGGAGGCCGCCGGCGACGUCUGCGCCGUUCAGGGCGCGGCUGCACGGCCGGCAGCCGCUCUUCCGUGGUCGAGCGGUCAAUGGGUGCAUGCCGCGGGGCUCCCGCGUGCCGCCGUCCGCUCCCAGCCGGUACGCCAACUACCACACCCUCGACGCGGGCGUGUGCGACCACGCCGGUGGCCGGAGCCGGAAGCCGUGA